GAUGAACGCUGGCGGCGUGCCUAAUACAUGCAAGUCGAGCGAACGGACGAGAAGCUUGCUUCUCUGAUGUUAGCGGCGGACGGGUGAGUAACACGUGGAUAACCUACCUAUAAGACUGGGAUAACUUCGGGAAACCGGAGCUAAUACCGGAUGAUAUUUUGAACCGCAUGGUUCAAAAGUGAAAGACGGUCUUGCUGUCACUUAUAGAUGGAUCCGCGCUGCAUUAGCUAGUUGGUAAGGUAACGGCUUACCAAGGCAACGAUGCAUAGCCGACCUGAGAGGGUGAUCGGCCACACUGGAACUGAGACACGGUCCAGACUCCUACGGGAGGCAGCAGUAGGGAAUCUUCCGCAAUGGGCGAAAGCCUGACGGAGCAACGCCGCGUGAGUGAUGAAGGCCUUCGGAUCGUAAAACUCUGUUAUUAGGGAAGAACAUAUGUGUAAGUAACUGUGCACAUCUUGACGGUACCUAAUCAGAAAGCCACGGCUAACUACGUGCCAGCAGCCGCGGUAAUACGUAGGUGGCAAGCGUUAUCCGGAAUUAUUGGGCGUAAAGCGCGCGUAGCGGUUUUUUAAGUCUGAUGUGAAAGCCCACGGCUCAACCGUGGAGGGUCAUUGGAAACUGGAAAACUUGAGUGCAGAAGAGGAAAGUGGAAUUCCAUGUGUAGCGGUGAAAUGCGCAGAGAUAUGGAGGAACACCAGUGGCGAAGGCGACUUUCUGGUCUGUAACUGACGCUGAUGUGCGAAAGCGUGGGGAUCAAACAGGAUUAGAUACCCUGGUAGUCCACGCCGUAAACGAUGAGUGCUAAGUGUUAGGGGGUUUCCGCCCCUUAGUGCUGCAGCUAACGCAUUAAGCACUCCGCCUGGGGAGUACGACCGCAAGGUUGAAACUCAAAGGAAUUGACGGGGACCCGCACAAGCGGUGGAGCAUGUGGUUUAAUUCGAAGCAACGCGAAGAACCUUACCAAAUCUUGACAUCCUUUGACAACUCUAGAGAUAGAGCCUUCCCCUUCGGGGGACAAAGUGACAGGUGGUGCAUGGUUGUCGUCAGCUCGUGUCGUGAGAUGUUGGGUUAAGUCCCGCAACGAGCGCAACCCUUAAGCUUAGUUGCCAUCAUUAAGUUGGGCACUCUAAGUUGACUGCCGGUGACAAACCGGAGGAAGGUGGGGAUGACGUCAAAUCAUCAUGCCCCUUAUGAUUUGGGCUACACACGUGCUACAAUGGACAAUACAAAGGGCAGCGAAACCGCGAGGUCAAGCAAAUCCCAUAAAGUUGUUCUCAGUUCGGAUUGUAGUCUGUAACUCGACUACAUGAAGCUGGAAUCGCUAGUAAUCGUAGAUCAGCAUGCUACGGUGAAUACGUUCCCGGGUCU
rnacentral:rRNA from 1 species